AUGGAGUCUGUGCUCAGCUGGGUUUUCCUUGUCGCUAUUUUAAGAGGUGUCCAGGGUGAGGUGCUGCUGGUGGAAUCUGGGGGAGAACUGGUGAAGCCUGGGGGAUCUCUGAGACUGUCCUGUGUGGCCUCUGGAUUAACCUUCAGUAGCUACGGCAUGAGCUGGGUCCGCCAGACUUCAGGGAAGGGGCUACAGUGGGUCGCAGCUAUUAACUAUGAUGGAAGGAGCACAUACUACACAGACACUGUGAAGGGCUGAUUCACCAUCUCCAGAGACAAUGGCAAGAACACGCUGUUCUGCAGAUGAACAGCUUGAGAGCUGAGGACAUGGCCAUGUAUUACUGUGCGAGUGACACCAUGAGGGGACCUCAGUAUGCUCUCACCCCACCUUGUUGA